UUAAGUUAGAAAGGGCGCACGGUGGAUGCCUUGACACUAGGAGUCGAUGAAGGACGGGACUAACGCCGAUAUGCUUCGGGGAGCUGUAAGUAAGCUUUGAUCCGAAGAUUUCCGAAUGGGGAAACCCACCAUACGUAAUGGUAUGGUAUCCUUAUCUGAAUACAUAGGGUAAGGAAGACAGACCCAGGGAACUGAAACAUCUAAGUACCUGGAGGAAGAGAAAGCAAAUGCGAUUUCCUGAGUAGCGGCGAGCGAAACGGAACAUAGCCCAAACCAAGAGGCUUGCCUCUUGGGGUUGUAGGACAUUCUAUACGGAGUUACAAAGGAACGAGGUAGACGAAGCGACCUGGAAAGGUCCGUCGUAGAGGGUAACAACCCCGUAGUCGAAACUUCGUUCUCUCUUGAAUGUAUCCUGAGUACGGCGGAACACGUGAAAUUCCGUCGGAAUCUGGGAGGACCAUCUCCCAAGGCUAAAUACUCCCUAGUGAUCGAUAGUGAACCAGUACCGUGAGGGAAAGGUGAAAAGCACCCCGGAAGGGGAGUGAAAGAGAUCCUGAAACCGUGUGCCUACAAAUAGUCAGAGCCCGUUAACGGGUGAUGGCGUGCCUUUUGUAGAAUGAACCGGCGAGUUACGAUCCCGUGCGAGGUUAAGCUGAAGAGGCGGAGCCGCAGCGAAAGCGAGUCUGAAUAGGGCGUUUAGUACGUGGUCGUAGACCCGAAACCAGGUGAUCUACCCAUGUCCAGGGUGAAGUUCAGGUAACACUGAAUGGAGGCCCGAACCCACGCACGUUGAAAAGUGCGGGGAUGAGGUGUGGGUAGCGGAGAAAUUCCAAUCGAACCUGGAGAUAGCUGGUUCUCCCCGAAAUAGCUUUAGGGCUAGCCUUAAGUGUAAGAGUCUUGGAGGUAGAGCACUGAUUGGACUAGGGGUCCUCAUCGGAUUACCGAAUUCAGUCAAACUCCGAAUGCCAAUGACUUAUCCUUAGGAGUCAGACUGCGAGUGAUAAGAUCCGUAGUCAAAAGGGAAACAGCCCAGACCGCCAGCUAAGGUCCCAAAGUGUGUAUUAAGUGGAAAAGGAUGUGGAGUUGCUUAGACAACUAGGAUGUUGGCUUAGAAGCAGCCACCAUUUAAAGAGUGCGUAAUAGCUCACUAGUCGAGUGACUCUGCGCCGAAAAUGUACCGGGGCUAAAUACACCACCGAAGCUGCGGAUUGAUACCAAUGGUAUCAGUGGUAGGGGAGCGUUCUAAGGACAGUGAAGUCAGACCGGAAGGACUGGUGGAGUGCUUAGAAGUGAGAAUGCCGGUAUGAGUAGCGAAAGACGGGUGAGAAUCCCGUCCACCGAAUGCCUAAGGUUUCCUGAGGAAGGCUCGUCCGCUCAGGGUUAGUCAGGACCUAAGCCGAGGCCGACAGGCGUAGGCGAUGGCAACAGGUUGAUAUUCCUGUACCACCUCUUUAUCGUUUGAGCAAUGGAGGGACGCAGAAGGAUAGAAGAAGCGUGCGAUUGGUUGUGCACGUCCAAGCAGUUAGGCUGAUAAGUAGGCAAAUCCGCUUAUCGUGAAGGCUGAGCUGUGAUGGGGAAGCUCCUUAUGGAGCGAAGUCUUUGAUUCCCCGCUGCCAAGAAAAGCUUCUAGCGAGAUAAAAGGUGCCUGUACCGCAAACCGACACAGGUAGGCGAGGAGAGAAUCCUAAGGUGUGCGAGAGAACUCUGGUUAAGGAACUCGGCAAAAUGACCCCGUAACUUCGGGAGAAGGGGUGCUUUCUUAACGGAAAGCCGCAGUGAAUAGGCCCAAGCGACUGUUUAGCAAAAACACAGCUCUCUGCGAAGCCGUAAGGCGAAGUAUAGGGGGUGACACCUGCCCGGUGCUGGAAGGUUAAGGAGAGGGGUUAGCGUAAGCGAAGCUCUGAACUGAAGCCCCAGUAAACGGCGGCCGUAACUAUAACGGUCCUAAGGUAGCGAAAUUCCUUGUCGGGUAAGUUCCCGACCCGCACGAAAGGUGUAACGAUUUGGGCACUGUCUCAACCAGAGACUCGGUGAAAUUAUAGUACCUGUGAAGAUGCAGGUUACCCGCGACAGGACGGAAAGACCCCGUGGAGCUUUACUGUAGCCUGAUAUUGAAUUUUGGUACAGUUUGUACAGGAUAGGCGGGAGCCUUUGAAACCGGAGCGCUAGCUUCGGUGGAGGCGCUGGUGGGAUACCGCCCUGACUGUAUUGAAAUUCUAACCUACGGGUCUUAUCGACCCGGGAGACAGUGUCAGGUGGGCAGUUUGACUGGGGCGGUCGCCUCCUAAAGUGUAACGGAGGCGCCCAAAGGUUCCCUCAGAAUGGUUGGAAAUCAUUCGUAGAGUGCAAAGGCAUAAGGGAGCUUGACUGCGAGACCUACAAGUCGAGCAGGGACGAAAGUCGGGCUUGUUGAUCCGGUGGUUCCGCAUGGAAGGGCCAUCGCUCAACGGAUAAAAGCUACCCCGGGGAUAACAGGCUUAUCUCCCCCAAGAGUCCACAUCGACGGGGAGGUUUGGCACCUCGAUGUCGGCUCAUCGCAUCCUGGGGCUGUAGUCGGUCCCAAGGGUUGGGCUGUUCGCCCAUUAAAGCGGUACGCGAGCUGGGUUCAGAACGUCGUGAGACAGUUCGGUCCCUAUCCGUCGUGGGCGUAGGAAAUUUGAGAGGAGCUGUCCUUAGUACGAGAGGACCGGGAUGGACGCACCGCUGGUGUACCAGUUGUUCUGCCAAGGGCAUAGCUGGGUAGCUAUGUGCGGAAGGGAUAAGUGCUGAAAGCAUCUAAGCAUGAAGCCCCCCUCAAGAUGAGAUUUCCCAUAGCGUAAGCUAGUAAGAUCCCUGAAAGAUGAUCAGGUUGAUAGGUUCGAGGUGGAAGCAUGGUGACAUGUGGAGCUGACGAAUACUAAUAGAUCGAGGACUUAACCAU
rnacentral:rRNA from 1 species